rnacentral:rRNA from 1 species
GAUGAACGCUGGCGGCGUGCCUAAUACAUGCAAGUCGAGCGAUCAAACUUGGUACUUGUUCCUCUUACUUUAGCGGCGAACGGGUGAGUAACACGUGGUUAACCUCCCUUUAAGCCUGGGAUAACUUCUGGAAACCGAUGCUAAUACCGCAUAAUAACUUUAACCACAUGUUUCAAUAUUGAAAGAUGCUUUUGCUUUCCUUUAUGAUUUUAUCGCCUCGAAUUAGCUUGUUGGUAAGGUAAAGGCUUACCAAGGCAAAGAUGCGUAGCCGACCUGAGAGGGGGACGGGCCAAACUGGAACUGAGAAACGGCCCAGACUCCUACGGGAGGAAGCAGUAGGGAAUCUUGCGAAAAGAGCGAAAGCUUGACGGAGAAACGCUGCGGGAGUGAUGAAGGUUUUCGGAUCGAAAAACUCUGUUAUUAGGGAAGAACAAAUGGGGAAGUAAAUAUGCACGAAGUGACGGUACCUAAUCAGAAAGCCACGGCUAACUACGUG